AAUCACAGAAACUUAGCAGGGUCGGGUCUGACUAGUACCUGGAUGGGAGACCACAUGGGACUACUGGGUACUGUGAGCU
rnacentral:rRNA from 1 species